GAUGAACGCUGGCGGCGUGCCUAAUACAUGCAAGUCGAGCGAACAGACGAGGAGCUUGCUCCUCUGACAUUAGCGGCGGACGGGUGAGUAACACGUGGAUAACCUACCUAUAAGACUGGGAUAACUUCGGGAAACCGGAGCUAAUACCGGAUAAUAUAUUGAACCGCAUGGUUCAAUAGUGAAAGACGGUUUUGCUGUCACUUAUAGAUGGAUCCGCGCCGCAUUAGCUAGUUGGUAAGGUAACGGCUUACCAAGGCAACGAUGCGUAGCCGACCUGAGAGGGUGAUCGGCCACACUGGAACUGAGACACGGUCCAGACUCCUACGGGAGGCAGCAGUAGGGAAUCUUCCGCAAUGGGCGAAAGCCUGACGGAGCAACGCCGCGCGAGUGAUGAAGGUCUUCGGAUCGUAAAACUCUGUUAUUAGGGAAGAACAAAUGUGUAAGUAACUAUGCACGUCUUGACGGUACCUAAUCAGAAAGCCACGGCUAACUACGUG
rnacentral:rRNA from 1 species